UACGAAGGGGGCUAGCGUUGCUCGGAAUUACUGGGCGUAAAGGGCGCGUAGGCGGACAUUUAAGUCAGGGGUGAAAUCCCGGGGCUCAACCUCGGAAUUGCCUUUGAUACUGGGUGUCUUGAGUAUGAGAGAGGUGUGUGGAACUCCGAGUGUAGAGGUGAAAUUCGUAGAUAUUCGGAAGAACACCAGUGGCGAAGGCGACACACUGGCUCAUUACUGACGCUGAGGCUCGAAAGCGUGGGGAGCAAACAGG
rnacentral:rRNA from 1 species